rnacentral:rRNA from 1 species
CCUACGGGAGGCAGCAGUGGGGAAUUUUGGACAAUGGGGGAAACCCUGAUCCAGCCAUUCCGCGUGAGUGAAGAAGGCCUUCGGGUUGUAAAGCUCUUUUGUCGGGGACGAAACGGUUACGAUUAAUACUCGUGACAACUGACGGUACCCGAAGAAUAAGCACCGGCUAACUACGUGCCAGCAGCCGCGGUAAUACGUAGGGUGCAAGCGUUAAUCGGAAUUACUGGGCGUAAAGCGUGCGCAGGCGGUUGUGUAAGCCAGAUGUGAAAUCCCCGGGCUUAACCUGGGAAUGGCAUUUGGGACUGCACGGCUAGAGUAUGGCAGAGGAGACUAGAAUUCCUGGUGUAGCAGUGAAAUGCGUAGAUAUCAGGAGGAAUACCGAUGGCGAAGGCAGGUCUCUGGGUCAAUACUGACGCUCAUGCACGAAAGCGUGGGGAGCAAACAGGAUUAGAUACCCUGGUAGUCCACGCCCUAAACCGAUGUCAACUGGUUGUUGGGGGAUUUAUUCUCUUAGUUAACGAAGCUAACGCGUGAAGUUGACCGCCNGGGGAGUACGGUCGCGAAGAUUAAACGUCAAAUUGAAUUGACGGCUGNGNGNGCGAGACGACGACGAGGAGGAGG